GCCUGGGUGGCUCAGUCGGUUGAGCAUCCGACUUCGACUCAGGUCAUGAUCUCAUGGUCUGUGAGUUCGAGCCCCACGUCGGGCU
rnacentral:tRNA from 1 species